rnacentral:rRNA from 1 species
UACGGGGGGUGCGAGCGUUGUUCGGAUUCAUUGGGCGUAAAGGGUGCGUAGGCGGCGCGGUAAGUCGGGUGUGAAAUCUCGGGGCUUAACUCCGAAACUGCAUUCGAUACUGCCGUGCUUGAGGACUGGAGAGGAGACUGGAAUUUACGGUGUAGCGGUGAAAUGCGUAGAUAUCGUAAGGAAGACCAGUGGCGAAGGCGGGUCUCUGGACAGUUCCUGACGCUGAGGCGCGAAAGCUAGGGGAGCAAACGGG